rnacentral:rRNA from 1 species
AGUGAACGCUGGCGGCGUGCUUAACACAUGCAAGUCGAGCGAGAACGGAAUAUAGCUUGCUAUAUUUGUCAGCUAAGUGGCGCACGGGUGAGUAAUGUAUAGAUAACCUGCCCUUAAGAAAGGAAUAACAGUUGGAAACGACUGCUAAUGCCCUAUAUGCCUUUAAUACAUAAGUAUGCAAGGGAAACGCUUUAGUGCUUAAGGAUGGGUCUGUAUGGUAUCAGCUUGUUGGUGAGGUAAUGGCUCACCAAGGCUAUGACGGCUAACUGGUUUGAGAGGAUGAUCAGUCACACUGGAACUGAGACACGGUCCAGACUCCUACGGGAGGCAGCAGUGGGGAAUAUUGCACAAUGGACGAAAGUCUGAUGCAGCAACGCCGCGUGGAGGAUGACACAUUUCGGUGCGUAAACUCCUUUUAUAUAGGAAGAUAAUGACGGUACUAUAUGAAUAAGCACCGGCUAACUCCGUGCCAGCCGCCGCAGUAACAC